AGUCGAACGAAGUAGCAAUACUUAGUGGCAGACGGGUGAGUAACAUGUAGGUAUCUACCCUUUGGCCUGGAAUAACACGAGGAAACUUGUGCUAAUACCGGAUAAGUCUUUACGGAGAAAGCUUUAUGCACCAUUGGAUGAGCCUGCACUUGAUUAGUUUGUUGGUGGGGUAAUGGCCUACCAAGACUGUGAUCAAUAGCUGAUUUGAGAGGAUGAUCAGCCACAUUGGGACUGAGACACGGCCCAAACUCCUACGGGAGGCAGCAGUGGGGAAUCUUGCACAAUGGAGGAAACUCUGAUGCAGCGAUGCCGCGUGAGUGAAGAAGGCCCUUGGGUUGUAAAGCUCUUUCGUCGGGGAAGAAAAUGACUGUACCCGAAUAAGAAGGUCCGGCUAACUUCGUGCCAGCAGCCGCGGUAAUACGAAGGGACCUAGCGUAGUUCGGAAUUACUGGGCUUAAAGAGUUCGUAGGUGGUUGAAAAAGUUGGUGGUGAAAUCCCAGAGCUUAACUCUGGAACAGCCAUCAAAACUUUUCAGCUAGAGUAUGAUAGAGGAAAGCAGAAUUUCUAGUGUAGAGGUGAAAUUCGUAGAUAUUAGAAAGAAUACCAAUUGCGAAGGCAGCUUUCUGGAUCAUUACUGACACUGAGGAACGAAAGCAUGGGUAGCGAAGAGGAUUAGAUACCCUCGUAGUCCAUGCCGUAAACGAUGUGUGUUAGACGUUGGAAAUUUAUUUUCAGUGUCGCAGCAAAAGCGAUAAACACACCGCCUGGGGAGUACGACCGCAAGGUUAAAACUCAAAUGAAUUGACGGGGACCCGCACAAGUAGUGGAGCA
rnacentral:rRNA from 1 species